CCUGCUUUAUAUCAGUAGUUCCAUCCUUCAAAUACUGGUCUUGUUUUCUUUGCUUUAUCAGCAUAUCUAGCUCAUCUUUCUUCUCUUGGAAUUGCACAAAGUCUAGAUGAAAAUAAGAUCUGGAAAGGCUCUAGAUUACAUCAUGAAUUUGUUAGUCUUUAAAUGUGACACACUUUCUAGUAAAAUCAAGAAAUAAAAAAAUCAUACAAGCCUGAUGUUUCUUUCCUUGUCUGUGUUGUGACAAUACAAUGACUGUAUCAAACACAGGUCUGUUGGCACACACUAGGCAUGCAUACCUAAAAUAGAGGGACUGUCAGUAUCUAUAUUGCCUACCUUCCAUUGCUUGUCAGCAAAGCCUCAUCCUCUGGAAUGUCUUCUCAUUUAUUUAUAUCCUUAUUUCCUGAAAUCGGGAUCGACAAUCACAAAUUAUGGACUUUUCGCGAAAAUCGACAAAAAAGAAAGUAGAACAAUAAAUUGUUGGGCACGUGUACAAAAAAGAGGAUAUUUACUGUUAUUAACAAGUUGUACGCGUGAAUCAGCGGUGAAUAAUGACACAAGAAGUGCAUGAACCAACCGACAUUACCCCUGACAAGGAUGGAGGUGUGAUAAAGCAGAUUUUACGUGCCGGGGAAGGAAACGAGAGCCCCGUGCCUGGAGACAAUGUCUCCGUCCACUACGUUGGGACACUGGACGAUGGAACACAGUUCGACUCGAGUCGUGAUAGAGGCGAACAUUUCAAGUUCGAUCUCGGGAAAGGAUCAGUUAUUAAAGCAUGGGAUUUGGGAAUUGCGACCAUGAAGAAAGGAGAACUGGCCAAGUUCACCUGCAAACCUAAGUAUGCUUAUGGAGAAGUGGGGUCACCACCCAAGAUACCAUCCAAUGCCACCCUUAUCUUUGAAGUGGAGCUUGUUAGUUGGAAAGGUGAAGAUUUGUCAUUGAAAAAUGAUGGAUCCAUCAUCAGACAUAUCACAACAAAAGGAAAAGGAUGGAAAAAUCCAAACGAAGGCGCUUUGGUCAAAGUGCACUAUGUUGGGAGACAUGGAGAAAAUGUUUUUGAGGAUCGGGAGGUGGAGUUUACAGUUGGAGAUGCAGUCAUUUCAAAUGUCAUUGAGGGUUUAGACAUUGCGGUUAAGAGAAUGAAGGAAGGAGAGAAAUGUCGGCUGGAUAUCAAGCCCAGUAUGGCAUACGGAUCAAAAGGAAAUCCAGAUCUAGGGGUGCCUCCGGAUGCUGAACUUGUUUAUGAUGUAGAACUACUCAGCUUUGAAAAUGCAAAAGAAAGCUGGGAAAUGGAGCCACAUGAAAAACUGGAGCAAUCCAUUAUAGCCAAAACAAAGGGAACAAAAUUUUUCAAGGAGGGUAACUACAAAGUAGCCCUGAAGUACUACGAUAAAUGUCAGAAGAAUUUGGAGUUUGAGACGACCCUUAAGGGUGAGGAUGAAGAGAAGCGGAAGGAAGUUAUCGUUCAAGCUCACCUCAACAUGGCCAUGUGUCACCUGAAGAUGGAGCAGUAUGUCAAAGUUCGCGACCACUGUAACAAAGCCCUGGACCUGGACGACAAGUGUGUUAAAGCUUACUUCAGGAGGGGACAGGCCUACUAUGCUGGAAAUGAUUUUGACCUUGCCAGAAAAGACUUUGAAAAAGCGUGCGAGAUAGAGCCGGAAAAUAAAGCCGCUAAAAAUCAAGUCAAAAUUUGUGAACAGAAGAUUAAACAGUUUGACAAGAAGGAAAAAGCCAAGUACCAGGGAAUGUUUGAAAAGUUUGCUGCUGAAGAUUCUAAAAAGUUUUUAUUGACCUUUGUACAUGCACAAAUCCAACCAUUUUUCAGCCUCAAAAUCGCUUUGUUGAUGGUUUUGAGGAAAUUGGAGAAUGGGAUAAUAAAAUGGCUCAUGGCAUGCUGCCCCUUGAUCAAGAAUGUGAGGCUUUCGGAGAAAAGAUGCCCGAGCGAUGUAAUGUGUCCCAACCCCCUGGGGAUGACUGAGGCUCCAUGUCUGAUGGUGAGAAGGGAGAUGACUCCAAGUAAAGAGAGAAGGGCCAAGUCUGUGAGAAUUAUUAGAGGGUGCAAUGCGAGAACAGGACUACAGCAAUAAGAAGCGGGACUGAUAUGAUUUAUCUGUUGUUUUUCUUAUUUCUUUGUUAGUGCCAUCAAUUUGUACUAUAUGUAUGCUAUCGUAAACAAGAGAUAUUUUCAGGAAUAACGUAGAUACAUCAUUAUCGUGCCACUGUUACAGAACAUACAAAUGAACUGGUUUUACUUUAAAAGCAAAAUAGUGUUCAUGUGCACACAAAAUUAUUCAUUUACAAUGUUACUUACACCUAAGAAUGCUUCUGUAAGACAAAUCAUUUUUUAAUUGAUAAAUAAAAUGUUUUACGUGAUUUUUUUUGUCGUCUUCUUAGUUUAAGGGCGACUCGAUAUUAAAUUAAGAAAAUAUUUACUUUUACUCACAACGGUAAAUCGGGAAUUGUCGAUCAUUAUUUACUCUCUUUUUAAAAAAAUAUGAACUAAAUAUAAUGUAACAAUAACGAUUGUGUAAAUACGACAUCAGUUUUAUUUUUCUACGAUAAUCUUUUGAAUUGCUUGCCUCAAAUGCCAAGAAACAGCAUAAAAAGUAAAAUUAUUGAAAAAAGUGUUACAUGUGAUUUUAAAAAUCAAGUGUGUCUAGAGCAGAUGUUAUGAAUGCUACUUAAGAAAUUGAAAUUGAAAAUGUGCACGAAAUGUUAACCUCCAUAGUUCUAUUAUUUUAUUACUAGUCAAACCUUUUAUCGCUGCAACUUUUAAAUAGAGAGAGGAAGAUAUAAAUCAAAAUUUUGUUUAUCUGGGAUCAAUGAUUUAUCAAAGGAAUGUCGAUUAGUAUUCGACAAUGGUGCCCUUGAGACAGAGAAAAAGGAGCAAAGAUUCUUAGGGCAUUGCGAUUGGUUUCAAAAAGAGAUUUCAUUUCUUCUGCCGACGAUAAAAUUUCAAAUCGCCGAGCGACAAUUCUGUUGAGGUGAAAUACAUUUUAGAGUCUUGAAAAUGGAAAGUCACGCUCGUGUAUUAUGAUUGGUUUGGGAUUUCGAAAAAAUAACCGAGAAUUUAUGAUACGAUUUUAUUUCCGUUCUAAUAGUAUUUGGAGAGGAAAUACAGCCCCGUGUCGCCGAUAUGAUAUAUCAUAAAUAAUAUAUUUAUUUUUGGCAAAUAUUUUUGUCUUUUAAUACCUAAUUUAGACUGAAAUGACUAAAAUCUGCUGAAUGUGUCGAGUGAUUAGUUCUCUAUCACACACGUUCGCGCAUAAUUUGGAUACAAAAUACCGUUUGAUUUUAUCUGACACGGAAAUAUAAAGGGGAGGGGGUGUGCUAACAAUUGUUAGUGAUACAGGCUGGCAUCAAAUGGUCAAGAGAUCUGUAAAUAUAUUCCGAUUUUUUCUUGAAUCUAUUAUGGUUGUGCUCGUGUUUGUUUCCUUAAAUCAUUUUAAAUUCUGUUUUCCUUGUUUUCGCUCUGUUUAAAUAUGAACGCAUUUCGCAGUUACGCGACACAAAUGUAAAGGGGGCUGGGUGGUCAACAAUUU
rnacentral:misc_RNA from 1 species